GUCCACACGGGUAAACGAUGAAUACUCGCUGUUUGCGAUAUACAGCAAGCGGCCAAGCGAAAGCGUUAAGUAUUCCACCUGGGGAGUACGCCGGCAAACGGUGAAACUCAAAGGAAUUGACGGGGGCCCCGCACAAGCGGAGGAACAUGUGGUUUAAUUCGAUGAUACGCGAGGAACCUUACCCGGGCUUAAAUUGCAGAUGAAUUACGGUGAAAGCCGUAAGCCGCAAGGCAUCUGUGAAGGUGCUGCAUGGUUGUCGU
rnacentral:rRNA from 1 species